UCUUUUGCCUCAUGAUGAAUGCUUAUAUUUUUAUAUAUUAUAAAAUAAAUAAAAAGUUGUGAAAAAAAAAGUAAAGAAUUGGCAAUAAAAGAUAAUUUUAUCUAAUGAUCUUUUUCUAAUGAUCUUUUUCUCAAUCUUUGAUGUGUUCUGUUCUGAUGGACUCACCACAUUCAUCACCAUGUUCUCGGAUUUCAUUUACGUCAACCCGACCGGCACCAAAACCUAAUAAGAAACGAAAGAUACAGUUUUUAGAUGAUGAGAUUCCUCACAUGAUCACACUAUCGUCCCCUCAUCAUACUUCCUCACCACUGCAGAAAACACGCUUACGGUUAAUGGAUGAAAUUAUUUAGGUAUGUUGUUUUAUUUCCCCAAUGUUAUUUUGAAUCCAUCCAUCUGUUACUAUGCUUGUGUCAUGAUGAGUAGGAUCAAACUCCUUCUUUAGACUUGUUGGUCAAUGUCAGUUUUACUUGAUUGUCAGAGUCUUUGCAGGCAGUUACCACAACCUUGGUAUGCUCACAUCAUGAAUAUAUCAAAAUCAGUCUUAAAGUCAUUACAGCGCCUAAAGGAUCUCUUAUAACCAAUGUUCCAGGCUUCAAUGGAUCUCUACCUUCAAAGCACUAUGGAGGGUAUGUAACAAUAGAUGAAAGUCAUGGUAAGAACUUGUAUUACUAUUUUGUUCAAUCAGAAGGCGAUUCAUCAAAGGACCCUAUUGUUCUAUGGCUGAAUGGUGGACCAGGAUGUUCUAGUUUUGAUGGUUUUGUAUAUGAACAUGGUAAUAACUAUUUUUCACUAUCAUUUUCAUUUUGUAAUUGUUUCUCAAAUCAAAUAAAUGUAGAGUGAAAAUUCAUUUUAAUAUCCAAAACAAUUUUUUUGUAAUAUCUAAUCUAAUAUAUUAUAUAAACAAUGUGUUCCAUUGGUGAUGUGUUUCAGGUCCUUUUAAUUUUGACAAACCUGUCAAUGGAUCCUUGCCUAAGUUGCAUCUCAAUCCAUACAGUUGGUCCAAGUUUGGUCAUUUUUAAUAAUAAUAAUCAGAAAUUCAAUCUAUUAAAUUAGUAUUUGUAGUAUUUAAAAUAUAUGAUUUUAGUCUAAAUAUUAGACAAAACAUUUUGAAUCAUUUUUAAUGUGUUUUCUUGCAGGUUUCCAACAUUAUAUAUUUGGACUCACCCGUUGGAGUAGGAUUUUCGUAUUCGAAAAAUACAUCUCAGUACGAAACUGGAGAUGAAAAGACUGCGACUGAUUCACAUACUUUUCUCCUCAAAUGGUUUGAAUUAUAUCCUGAGUUUCUU